GUGUGAUUCGGCAGCACAUAUACUAAAACUGGAACAAUACAGAGAAGAUUGAUAGCACGGGCCCUGCACAAGGAUGACACGCAAAUUUGUGAAGCGUCGCAUAUUUUU